rnacentral:rRNA from 1 species
UACGGAGGAGGCAAGCGUUAUCCGGAAUUAUUGGGCGUAAAGCGUCCGCAGGUGGCACUUCAAGUCUGUCGUCAAAGACUGGGGCUUAACCCUGGAAAGGCGGUGGAAACUACAAGACUAGAGUGCAGUAGGGGCAGAGGGAAUUCCCAGUGUAGCGGUGAAAUGCGUAGAGAUUGGGAAGAACAUCCGUGGCGAAAGCGCUCUGCUGGACUGCAACUGACAUUGAGGGACGAAAGCUAGGGGAGCGAAUGGG